GAUGAAGAACGUAGCGAAAUGCGAUAAGUAGUGUGAAUUGCAGAAUUCAGUGAAUCAUCGAAUCUUUGAACGCACAUUGCGCCCUUUGGUAUUCCAAAGGGCAUGCCUGUUCGAGCGUCAUUUGUACCCUCAAGCUUUGCUUGGUGUUGGGCGUCUUGUCUCUAGCUUUGCUGGAGACUCGCCUUAAAGUAAUUGGCAGCCGGCCUACUGGUUUCGGAGCGCAGCACAAGUCGCACUCUCUAUCAGCAAAGGUCUAGCAUCCAUUAAGCCUUUUUUUCAACUUUUGACCUCGGAUCAGGUAGGGAUACCCGCUGAACUUAAGCAUAUCAAAAGCGGAGGA
rnacentral:misc_RNA from 1 species